AGAUAUAUAGCUUAAUGGAUAAAGCAUCAGAUUCCGAUUCUGAUAGAUAAAGGUUCAAAUCCUUUUAUAUCUA
rnacentral:tRNA from 1 species